UCUUCCACAAGAGGCUCUGGGUCAGAAGGAUUACUUUGUAUUAUACACUCUUACCUAAACCUGUAAUUUUCAAGAGUCCUAAGCAGAAAUUAACUGCGUUAUGAUGAUCAGCUUUAAGAGUAUUCUACUAUAAAAUUAUAGUCCUUUUUAAUAGCUUGUAUUAUUUUGCAAUAUAUUUUAUUUAAUGUAUAAAGUAACUUUUUAACACCAUUAAAAUGUAAAAAGCUAGACUAGAUUGAGUAGGAACGUGGAUGAUAGUUGUCCCCUUCCCCUCCUGUAUAGGUCUUGUGCUUAGUAAUAAUGAUCCAGACCUUUUCUGUUAUUUGGAAAUUACAAAAUGCUGAUUUCUGCUCUUAGUUCUAUAUCUCGUCAACUCGUGUAUUAGUUCAGAGAAGAUGAAUGAGCUCAGCUGUACUAUUACAGUGGCUGCAGUCACAACUGAAACACUCUGUUUUGUUCCAUGCAGCUGCUUUCAGUGCUAUUACACACUGAGGUCACUAUUUGCACAACGCAGCUUUCAGUUGUAGUGGUAGCAAAGGAUGGGAGGUAUUUAAAGUUAUGCAUCUGAUUCUUUCAGAGAUAAAGUACUGGCUGUCCCUGUUGAAGUAACAGGCUAUUCCUGCUGUAGGAAUGAGAUGCUGAUGAGUUCAGUGGUGUUAUUUCAGGCUUAUUAUUCAGACGGAGCGGAUCUGCCCUACAGACAGCAGUCAGACACCUCAAACAGACUGUCCUCGUGAUGCUGCCAGAGAUGGCAAGAUGGUCUAGAAGGCAGGACAGAUCCUUAAGCUUGAGGGGAAUAUUAUGGCUGUUUAGAAAUCAGGGAAGCUCCACCCAUUUUUAAAGUGCUUUCUUGUUUGGUGUUGAUGAGAAUUUACUGUUAUUCCUUCCGUUGGCAGUGAAAGCACCCCUGACCAGUUUGCAUUUAGAUUCUGAAUUUCCUUUGCCUAAAGAAAUUGUAUCUUGGCAAGCUGACUGCGUUCCAUCAAAACAAUUGAAGGGAGAGGCAAGUUUUCUUUCUGGCUCCAGGAUUUGAUGUGUCCUGUGGAAUCGGUCCCUGAGAGGUUUGGACAUCAAAAUAAAGUGUUGAUUUAACUUUCAGGUGUUGUCUCAUUGUAUUUUUGCACUUAUCAACAGUUCCUUUUUGCUUGUUCUGUGGUGGGUUUUUUUGUUUUGGCACUUGAAUGCAGGAAACCCUUCCAGCUGAUCUAGCACUUAGGUUUGUUUCCUUUCCCUGGAUGGGAAUGACUUUAUUCCUGAGAGAAUCUGAUUGUAAACAAGAAGCUGCUGUUUCCUGUGGCAGAAGAACCCAACGUCUUCAAGGUCACAUAACUUAAUUAGGCCUUAUCACAUGCUGUGAAUUUAUGUUCUAGUCCUUUACUUGGCAGCCUUUCUGGGUGCCUUCUGCUACCUUCUCCCUCCUUUCUUGGCAAAUCCUUUGGUUUAUUUUGUUCACUAUCCCUUUCUUUCAAGCCUUUCGUGAAGGAAGCACAAAGGAAGGUUUGCUUUAGUAAGCUAGAAAUGUUCCCCUCCUUGGAAACAGUGUUUCUUGCAGCGGAUUUGCUGGAAGUUAAAUUGUAAUCAGUUUUUAAUUGAUUUCCUGUAAACUUGGCUGACUGGGCCAAGUCUCCAAGCUACCGCUGCCACGCGUACAGAAGGCAUGUCAGUAACCAUUUUGCUCACCAGUAUUUUGGGGGUGAUUGGUUCAUACCUGGUAACAUCUCUGUGCAAACCUUUUACCUGUGAAACAACAGUAGAGCUACGUUAGUUAUUAGUGGGCUCUUCCAACAAUAAAAAAAUCACCUGUACCCUAAGCAAGUACACACAUAAUCUCAACAUAGAUUUUCAUUUUCUUUACAAAAGAAAGAGCUUAAAGAUUUUUCUAUGUCCUCUGUAUUUUCUAGCUGUGAUUUACAGUGCUAAAUGCAUUUUCACACAUGCUUACGAAUCAAAUUAUAGUAAGAAAUCCUCCUAAUCUGUGACGUAUUUCACUGUUCCAAAGAUUUCAGCAAAACACUCUUAUUUGGCAAGAAACUGGAAAGCACAGAAAUAUAUAUUUUAAGUUCAGUGCUUAACCUUUUCUCUAUUGCCUUGAAGAAUUUACUACCCAUCUGCAGAGCUGCAGCUUCUAAUCACUGUAAUGAACGUGUUUGGCUUUACUAACUGUUAAUGCCAUUUAGUUUUCAUUUUUCUCACUGAAGCAGUAAUAUUUUCUGCUCUCUGAAUGGGAGAGUGUUAUUUUUCCUUCCAGGCCAUGCUACUAAUGUUAUUCAUUUUGCAGAUGCAUACGUUUGAAUUUUCUACGUAGUGAAAAAGGGAGGACUUGACACAAGUGUAAAUGGAGCACAGCACAAGAAAAGAUGCUGCCCAUAGGGAGGUCAUUUUCCUUUCUUCUAGGAGCUAAAUUAGUGAGGAACAUAUGCAGAUGUUUGUUUGUGAAGCUCACUGGGAUUUAGCACCUUAAGGUAAGAGUAUUAUUAAAUGCCCCGCAGAGUAGAGUGUUCUUUAAGUUAGGCAUUGAUUCAGUGAUCAGCAGUAUCAAAUACCUCAUCCCCAUAGGAGGCUACAGCAGUCACUCAAAGUGAAUCUGAAUGAAGAGGCUGCACUUCAUCCCCAGAAUAAGCUGUUUAAGGCUCUACUCGAUCUAUCUUAUGAUCAGGAAGAAACUGAACCUAUGUGAAAGUAACUGCCAUUCACCAGCUUAUAAUGCUACUAAUAGUAUUGUAAAAAGCUACAAAUAUCCCAGUGACUCGCAAGAAAGUUUUAUUCUCUUUUUUUUUUUCCUCCUCAGGUUAAUAAGGAGAAAAAAACAGAUGUGAAAUUGCAAUAUAGAAAUGUCCAUUCAAUCUAGAUGGUAGUGCAGCUCUUGCAGUGUGGUGGAGCUUUAAGGAAGGUAAUGGCCCAGGAGGCAGUGGAACCACUGGUAUUUCUGGUGCAUUUCCUUCUUUGACCUCUACACACCUAUUGCUGACAUUGUAAGCUGAAGAGCCUUGGAUAUCAUGUGUUGUGCACUGUGUUCUUUUUGCGUGUGGAAUCUGCAUGCAGGCUGAUGGAUGACUGCUUCUUUUCGAAGCAACAAGAUUAGAAAUGGCUGCUCUACUUCUGUCUGAUGUAAGAGCACAGGCCCAGGAUGACUGCUCAGGAUCUUCUUGCAGGAGUGUGACCUCUGUAUGACUUGAGACAAAUUGUGACAGUUCAUGGAUUGCUGCAUUUCCCCUCAUGUAUCAUUCAUGAUGUCAGCUCCCCUUUUAUCCUUCCGCUCUGUUCACUUAGCAUCAUGGCUGUGGGAAGCAAUCUCAACUGAAGUACCACUGAGCACCUUCAGAGAGAUAAUGCCUUUCUUAUUCUUCCAAGAAGAGUCUGAAGUGUCCUUGGGAGUGGCAUCGUUCACAGGUGGAAGUAUUUGUGAAGAUUUUGAAGUCAAGGAUUCAAAGUCAUGUGGAUGGAGCACACCAAGUGCCUGGGGUUUUAUUGCUUCGUGGCUUCGGGAUUGUUCACAGCUCCUCAGUUCUACUUUUAUUGACAGGCUCUUCUUUUCACCUUGCUGUGUUUGAACAGAGUGUACCUUUUUGUUACAUAUCACUGUUUUAACACCAUAUGUUGUAGAACAGCAAUUAGACUCGCUGGAAUGCAUCGACAUCCCUUCCUGAAGUGGUAUCAGUGAUGGUGGCAUCUACACUUAACUUGUUUUCUGGUUUCGACUGAUAUCUUGUGGUCUUGGCUUCUUGACCUGCACUUCUGUCAAUAGGUGGCAACAUGUCUAAGCAGAACAGACACUUGGAAGUUUUGUUUGCCUUAAAGUGCUUGACUUGUUUUUGCAGCUGAAAGCAGGCAAGUGGAUCAGUUCUAUCCCAGCCGUGCACCUGGUCAUAGAGAAACAGUAGAUCUAAGGCAGCCCAGAGCACUGCAAGGAGAAAAAUGUAGAGGAAAUAGUGUUUGCUGAUGUAAAUAAGCUGCCACUUUGUGCUGGAAACAAGCAGUUAGGUUGGAUAUUAGGAAAAAUUCUUCUCCAAAAGAUUGGUCAGGAGCUGGAACAGCUCAGGGAGGUGGUGGGGUCACCAUCCCUGGAGGAGUUCAAGAAGGGUUUAAGUGUGGUACUGAAGGACAUGGCUUAGUGGGAAACAUCAGUGGCAGGUAAAUGGUUGGACUGGGUCAUCUUGGAGGUCUUUUCAACCUCGGCGAUUCUGUGGUUCUGUGAAUCCUUUUCAAAAGAACACAACUAUUUCUAUGAGAAAAAAAAAUACUAUAAACGGAAUGGUCCUUUUCACUUCCAAAGAACAAGUUAGGUCUCUUUUAUUUUUAUUUAUUUAUUGAUUGCUUUUCCACUGCAGUCUUAACUGGGGCUUUUUUUAGUCCCCACACUUUCCCAAAGCCUUAAAGCCAAUCACAGAGUCUGGAGAGGUGGUUAAUGCUUACCUAAUAAAAUUGCAUUGAGCUCCAUCAGGGCACACAGAAGGCAGACUCACAAGGUCACGAACUGAAGUAAACUCUUACAACUCCAUUUUCUUGUUAUUAUGGUAGGUUUCUUUGGAUCCCGAUAUUUAAAGUAAAAUAUGUAUAUUCAAAUCCAAACCCCCCAACCGCAGAGUAACCCUUCUCUGUCACCUCUCUGUUCAUCAGAACAUGCAGUCCUUUGGAAAUCAUUCACUUACCCCUCAGAUCAAACAUCCUGGAUAAACUCUUGUGCAUCAUACAGCUUACGUCUUCGUAGAUAAAGAGCACACGUCCUGGUUAGAUGAGGAUAAUAAUUGGUAUAAAGGAUCAAUAUCUUUAUUGAUUCUUUAAUACAAUACUUAACACUUUUUAGAUGCAGCACCGGCAUAUGCCUUAAAUCUGAUCUGGCAUUUCUCUGAGAUUUCAGAUGUUUUCACAGGGAAAAUUCAUUAUGCCUGCCAAAGCAGUGUAGGGAGGUAUUUGUAAGUAUCCACAUACAGAACAAAUGCAUCACACAAGGCUUACACACUGUCGAAGCAAUUAUCAGUGUCAGAUUCACGUAGUCACGUGUGAUUGUUAAAGUCCUGGGUGAUGCUGUAGCAUAACACCCACAGAGCUCAUCAGCAUCAGAAGAGCUGCACAGAUGUGAAUGAGAGCAGAAGCUGACCAUUUUGAAUGCAUGCACUGAGUCACCGCAUCACCUCAAAAGCCGAUGUAAUCAUAAUGCACUUCGCCUUUACAUCCAUUUUCUCUCUCCACAGUUCUCAUUACUAUAAAUAACCCUGUUUUGGAAAGUUGAAGCAGAAGUGUGACAAUGGCCACUUUGGAUAAGCCCCAGCACAGACACUCCUCUCCCUGUUAGUGGUUCCAUCAUAGUUCUGCUUAAUGCACCCCUGCACCAGCAUCUUUCUCCUAGGUUACCUGAAGUCGGGACAACAGCUAAAUGCAGCACUGCCCUCCGUGAUUUGGAUCAGUUCUGCCUUUUUCUCUCUGAAUUAAAUGAUAAUAAAACAGAGGACUGAAUGCAGUUGGGCUGGGAGCUCUCAGGCAUCGAGCUGACUUGAAAUGCAGUCUGGCACUGUGGAAGUGUCAGGGCUGGGCAGUACCACGCAGCAGAGCAGAGGCUGCCUUUGGCUGCUUGCAUCAGCUGGAAGGUCUGCAGAAAGCGAGUAGGACAGCGUUACUGGGAGAACGUUUCUUUCUAUGAAAAAGAUGUGCAAAAGGAUUCCAGCAGUGCCUGACUGAUUGCCAUUUCCUAUGUCCAACUGUAAUGUAAAACCUUUUGCUUUUCUCACACUGUAACAGAGCCGCACUGUGUAGCUCCAGCAUUUACAUGACAACUGGUUUAUCUGCUGGAACUUUCAAAACUGUCUCAUGGUAAGAACACUGUUUUGCAGUGGAAAGAUGAUAGCUGAAGGGGCUAGCUACAGCAGAAGGAAUCAUUUCGUGAUCAGCUUGUUAACAUUCCCAUUUACAGAAGAGCCUUGGCUAACAUCCUUGGCGUAACUAGCACUGUAAAACAGCAGACACAUUCAACUUUUAAGCGUACGUGUUUGUAACACUGUGAACUAAAUUAAGGCACGGAGGGGGUGGUGCAUGGCUGCCUACCGCUGCAUAUAUUAAGGCACAGUUUGUUCACGCUGCAGCACUUGCUCACUUCUAAGAGUUCAGGCGUGGUGCACAAAUAUUUACAGCAGGCAAAGCCGAAAUCAUUUCCUGUUAGAAUGAAGGUGGCUGCUGCUUCCCGUUACAAACCCUCAGCACGCUUUCCACAUCGCAGCACAAGGCUGCAGGCCAUUGGAGAGGCUGUCUGUGCACGUCUGCUGCGUUGCAGUGCCCAGCAGAGACGAGGCUGAGGUGUUUGUGAGGAGCUGAGGUGUGGGGGGGAAACUGCAGGUGAAAACCUGAGCACCUGUGGGAUCAGCUGCUCCACUGAGGUUUUCAUGAUUUAAGUCCUAUUAAAUCCCAAUUUUUAGAAGCCUUCAAAAAGCCUUCAUUCAGCUUUGCUCCACAAGGAUCAUCUGUGAAAUUAUUUACAGUGGCCAUGCAUUUAUAUUCUCUCUUUCUACUCUUUCCUUUGCAAAAAGAUGGCAAAAAAACCAAGUAGGCUUCACCUGAUGAUGGCAAGAGCUGAACUCCACCCCAAUUUCUGAGCAACGAUCUCAUGACAUGGCUCUGUUCAUAGGGCUGCCCCUCUGCAGCUCGCGUUGCUUUGACCUGAGCAGUCACAGCUCAACACGUGGGGUUUUUGCUUUCUUAUCAUGGGAUUUUUCCUUUUUUUUUUUAAUUUGCUUUACUACCUUUGAGGAAUGGACGUUUUUCAGCUCUGUAACACAAGCUCUGUACCUCCCAGUGCCCAGUCCAGAAAGGAGUCGGUGUUUCUUUCCUUUUUCUCCAUGCAACAUUACAGGAAUUUGUGAAGCAAACAAGAGGCUCGAAAAAGCCACAAAGCAAGAAUAUUACACAAGCUUACGAUGAGAAGUGAAGCAACUAAAAUUACCAGAGGGGGGAAGUUGAACAUCCCUACUGUGUGAAAUGCAGCCUCGUGUCCACCCUACACCACUAAGACAGAACUGAAAACCUUUCCUGUAUGGGUUUCAGCCACUGCAGCUUAUUAGUUCUGAUAGUUUCACUAUUACAAAGACUGCAUAUUCGUGUAAUACACGAAGUUCUGUGUAGUGGUUUUAAACUGGAAUUAACGUUAGCCAAUAAUUUUAAUAAUAGCGUCAAAUGUAACACUGCAAGGCAUAUUUUUUUCCUUGCUUAUGUGUCAUUAAGGAGAUUUGGAACCCAGUGGAAAUAGCCUGGCAAUUCUUUUCACGCUUCCUAAGAAAGGGAUUUAAGCUGACAGUCCCGGUGUGAGCCAACAGGGAGCUCUGCCCCGCCUUAACGCGGAGCCGUUCGGUUCCAUCAGGGCCGCCGGUCCCAUCGUUAACCUCAUCGCCGGACACGGAGCCGCGGGCGGAAUGACGGAGGCGGAAAAGCUCAGGAGUUAAGCGAGAAUUACACGUCGACACGGUUCGGGCUCAGCCUCUGGCAGGAUCACUGUUUUUAAUGCAAUUUACUCAUUAAAAACGAGCACGGAUUACGGAAAGACUGGAGCGAGGCGCCUUGGCCAGGCGGUAUUUCAGCUCCGUGCAGCGCCCCGCUUCUCAUCGCCCACCGCUCCCCGGAACGCCGGCCGUCAUCCAACGCAGUGCUGCGCAUCGCACGGCUCGCGCCGGGAGGGCCGCUCGCAGCGGGGCUGCUCCUGCGCUGCGGCACGGCUGGGCGCGCCCGUUUCCCCCAGCGGAUGCACCGUAACCGCAUUAUCGCGGAUUAGCUGGAUUUCUUCCUUUAAAUGUACACUGCGAGAACCGACCCGCCAGCCAGCUGUUUCUUAUCGGCCCCUUUAAUCUGCCCGAGCCCGGCUCCGCUCCUUCCUUUCGCAGCUAUUUCUGGCACCGCUCGGCGGGGCGCGGCGCAUCUCCGCGCCUCCAUCGGGGAAUCCCUGCCUGUGCCGCCUCCUCCUCCCCCUCCUCCUGGCUGAGCUCCUCGAGGAAAGACCCAGAAGGCGGCGGCGCGGGGCUGCAAGUAGGGCAGCGGCGGGGCGGGAUGAGUCGGGGAGCGCCCCAG
ensembl:lncRNA